GAUGAAGAACGUAGCGAAAUGCGGUAAGUAAUGUGAAUUGCAGAAUUCAGUGAAUCAUCGAAUCUUUGAACGCACAUUGCGCCCCUUGGUAUUCCGGGGGGCAUGCCUGUUCGAGCGUCAUUAUAACCCCUCAAGCUCAGCUUGGUGUUGGGGCCUGCCGACUGGCAGCCCUUAAAAUCAGUGGCGGCGCCAUCUGGCUCUAAGCGUAGUAAUUUCUCUCGCUAUAGAGUCCCGGUGGAUGCUUGCCAGCAACCCCCAACUUUCUAUGGUUGACCUCGGAUCAGGUAGGGAUACCCGCUGAACUUAAGCAUAUCAAUAAGCGGAGGA
rnacentral:misc_RNA from 1 species